CUCACCUGCAUGUUUCUAUCUAGCUUAAGAAUAAUAAAUUGUCUCUCCCUGUCGUAGUUGGUUCCCACCACAGACGGGUCAUCUUUACUCGUAACAGGAUCUCCCUGGAACUGGAUAUUGGCCUUGUCUACGGUCAGCACGUUGAUAUGGAGGGUCACGUUGUCAGAGGUCUUGUCACAGCGAAGGACAGUACAACUCACAGAUGCUAUCAUCUCCUCGCCCGGCCAUUUUUGCACACUGCUGUAAGACGGACUGAGCAGAAGAAGCGCCUGUCUGUCCGGCCCCCGAGCCACAGUUACACACCAGCCCCCGGUCCCCCUCGGCGAAAUGCACUAUAAUGCCCACUCCGACAGCGAUCAAGAUGGCGACCAGUGUCAAAGCCACGCCUACCACACCGCUGACGUAACAUCCGCCAUUCUUCUUUUCGCCGGAAGCCAUUUCCAAGCUGCUCUGACGACUACUGUCGGUGGUGUUUGAAUCUUUUGUCUCGUACUUUUCAUUUGCCAUUCUGGGGAAUUAGAAAUAAAGAGUUACUAAAUAAAAAAAGAACGUAUAAUUAAGGGGACAGAACAUAAAAGAUUUCAGGUUAGUUGCCAAGAUAAAAUUAGCGCGAAAAUGGACGCCAAUGUUUGUUAAGCUCUAAGAUUCUGUGUCCUUGGAGACUGAAAAUGUAUAUCAAUUUCAAUGCCUUUGAGCAACGGAUUUUUAUUAAAAUUCACACAACUGUCUUUAAAACUGGAAUAAAUUAUAGAAGUUCAAACACUAAAA